rnacentral:miRNA from 1 species
UUGGGCUCCACGGGUGUCAGCGGCUUUGGUAGUAAUGGCAGCGGAACUUGAGGAGCCGAGA